AUUGAACGCUGGCGGCAUGCCUUACACAUGCAAGUCGAACGGCAGCAUGGAAGAGCUUGCUCUUCUGAUGGCGAGUGGCGAACGGGUGAGUAAAGCAUCGGAACGUACCGUGUAGUGGGGGAUAACGUAGCGAAAGUUACGCUAAUACCGCAUACGCACUGAGGUGGAAAGCAGGGGAUCGCAAGACCUUGCGCUAUACGAGCGGCCGAUGUCAGAUUAGCUAGUUGGUAGGGUAAAGGCCUACCAAGGCGACGAUCUGUAGCGGGUCUGAGAGGAUGAUCCGCCACACUGGGACUGAGACACGGCCCAGACUCCUACGGGAGGCAGCAGUGGGGAAUUUUCCGCAAUGGGCGAAAGCCUGACGGAGCAAUACCGCGUGAGGGAUGAAAGCCUGUGGGUUGUAAACCUCUUUUCUCAAGGAAGAAUUUUUGACGGUACUUGAGGAAUAAGCAUCGGCUAACUCUGUG
rnacentral:rRNA from 1 species